CCGAUGAGGUGGAAACGGACAGAGCUGGCGUAUCUGGCCUGCAUUCAGCCGCUGCGCGUCGGGCCCCGGUUUGCCGCACUCCAGAUUGGGAAGGUGGCUGGGCUGCUGGCGUGCUGGUGGUGCAUUUGCAGGUGGAGUGCGCCGAGGCGCUCGGCUCAGCGGCAUGAGCUCGGCUUUGAGGCCAGUCGCGCAAGCGGUCUGGUACCCGGGUCGGGGGAGUGUUGUUUGGGCUGGGUGUUCGCUGGGGCACAGGUUUCGGGCCCGGGUGGGUGCCGAGCUGGCGGUCGGCGGCGGUCGCGUGCGACACGUGCCAGCAGUCAGUUCGGUCCUGCUCGAGCUCUCUCGUGUCCGGCCUCGGUGUAAAAGCCGGUCAUCUGUCCGACCCGUCUUGAAACACGGACCAAAGAGUUUAGCGUGUGCGCGAGUCAUUGGGUGUUGAAAACCCAGAGGCGUAAUGAAAGUGAAGGUCUGCCUUGUGCAGCUGAUGUGUGAUCCUGGGCGCCGCGGCGCCCGGGCGCAACAUAGUCCCGUCCUGACUGCAUGCAGUGGGGCGGAGACAGAGCGUACGCGCUGAG
rnacentral:rRNA from 1 species